GACGAACGCUGGCGGCGUGCUUAACACAUGCAAGUCGAACGGAAAGGCCCUGCUUUUGUGGGGUGCUCGAGUGGCGAACGGGUGAGUAACACGUGAGUAACCUGCCCUUGACUUUGGGAUAACUUCAGGAAACUGGGGCUAAUACCGGAUAGGAGCUCCUGCUGCAUGGUGGGGGUUGGAAAGUUUCGGCGGUUGGGGCUGGACUGGCGGCUUAUCAGCUUGUUGGUGGGGUAGUGGCUUACCAAGGCUUUGACGGGUAGCCGGCCUGGGAGGGUGACCGGCCACCAUGGGACUGAGAGAGGGCGCAGUCUCGUACGGGAGGCAGCAGGGGGGAAUAUUGCACAAUGGGCGGAAGCCGGAUGAGGCAACGCCGCGGGCGGAAAGACGGCCUUCGGGUUAUAAACCGCUUUCGGCUGAUACGAAGCGUGAGUGACGGUAAUGGAUAAAUAAGCACCGGCUAACUACGUG
rnacentral:rRNA from 1 species